rnacentral:piRNA from 1 species
AAGACACUGUAAAGGAAGGAGCU